CGGACAGACAGACAUGGCUCUAUCGACUCGGCUAUUAAUGCCGAAGAGUUACUCGAAGAGUAACUAGAGAGUCCAUAGCCGAGUCAAUAUAGCCAUGUCUGUCUGUGC
rnacentral:miRNA from 1 species